AUUCUUCUUUUUAUUCUCUUUCUUUCUUUUUUCUCUGCUUUCCUUCUCUUUCUUCUCUUCGUCCCGUUCUUCUCCUGUGAGAGACUCAUGAUAUGAGAGCGAGAGUUUAUUGAAGAGAAUUAAUGAUGGGGUUGUCUAAAUGAUGGAGUCGAAGUUGUUGUUGAUUUAACUCGAAAGAUGAAACAGAGAAAGGAAUUAGGUUUUCUGUAAAAUAGAUGACGAAUUGAUCUUGAAACUGAUAAACUGAGUUUAGGUUUGAAGAGCGUGCUCUAAUGAAGAAGCUUUGUUUGUUAACGAAUUGAAGGAUAAGGUGUUUGUUGUUGAUUCAAAUUGGAAUCUGAGAUGAUCCGAAUUCAGGGUUUCUGUAAAUCGAAGUUAGGGUUUGUGUGGAUUUGAUGAUGAUAUAGUGUUGUUGAAGGAUAAAGAACGAGAGGGUUUUUGUUGAAUCAAGGUUCUGAAGUUGUGUUGAUGGUGAAUCAAAGAAGUUAGGGUUUCAUGUUCUUCCCUAAUUUAAGAACUAGGGUUUUGGAAACCGAUUGAAGAUUUGAUUUGAAGUUAGACAAUAAGAAACUGAAGGCCGGGUGUAGUAAAUUGAGGAGGAAUCUAUGAAGUAGGUGAUGGUUCUGAAACUUAUUGAGUUCUGGAAGAUGAUAAGAAUGAUGGGUUUGUGUAGAUUGAAAUUGAGUUGUGCCAGCAGUGAAGAUUGAUUCUAUUUAAGAGUUAAGGUUUCUGAGAAUUAAAGAUGGUGAUAAAGAUUGUUAAGUUUGGUUCGGUUAAUUGGGAUUUCUGUGAAUGUGGUUAAUGAACAACAACGCAGAGGAUGCUGAUACCUGGGUAAGUCUUUUAUUGGUUUUGUUGUGGUAGUCGUGAGUUAAGUUGUUUUGAUUUCAUAGUUUGUGUAUUUAUGAAUUGAACUGGGUGGAGUUAAAUGAUGAACUGUGAAUGGUUGUGAUGAUGAAGCGGAAUGAGUAGUGGUUAUGUAGCUGUUGUUAAUGGAGUUAUAGGAGUUAUGUCUAUUGGUUGAUGCAAUGAUAAUUGAAGAUCAGAUAUGUGAUGGUUGAAUUGGAUUUGGGUCACAGCUGGUGCUGAUGCUGUUAUGGUGAUGUUGUACAGUUGGUGGUGCUGGAGUGGUUAAGGGAAUUGAAGUAUAAAGUUUAUGGAGUUAAUGAAUGAGUGUUGCUUGAGUUGAGUUGUGUGUUACAGUGGUGCAGAUGAUGAUGUUUCAUGGAAUUGAGAUAUUGCCGAUAUAGUGUUUGGUAGUGGUGUAGUCUUGAAUCUGGGAUUGAGAUAGAUAGAAAUGUAUUGGUUUUGGUGAUUGGUAAUGAUUGCAGUUGAAGGAUGUUAACUGAAAUCCGAGUAUGGAUGAGUUGAAGAUGAAUGUUAGGAGUUUGGAGAUGAUAAUGAUGUUGCAGUGAGAGUUGAGUUUGAGUUAUAGUUAGUAGGCUUAUAGUUGUUGGAAAUUGAAUAUGAUCGUAAGUUGUAUGAGCUGAGGCUGAUUAUAAUGUUGUUAAGCCAUUGGCCUUGUGAAAGCUUGGAACUGCAAUUGCAGUUAGUCUAUAUUAACAACGAUCGAUUCAAGGAUGAACCAGUGAAUCGUGGAUCUCGAGGUAGGCGUGGCUUUUCAUCAAAAUAGGUAUUUUUGGAAAAAUAAACUUUUGUAGCGAAAUUGGCUCGAAAAGUGAUGUUUGCACUCUCCGGAGGAAUCACUAAAUACACCCCGAAGAAAUGUUGUUGGCACCCGGACGAAGUGUUAGACGCACCCAGGAAAAGUAUUAAAAAUACCCCAGAAAAUCGCUAAAGGGACCCUAGCAAUGGAUAAGGGGUACCCAAAUUACUAAGGGGAACCCAACCAGUUAUUCCCACCCCAGCCAUUGUCAGGGGGACACCAUCUUUAUGGUUUAAACGCACUGGAUUUUGGAAGGAAAAUUAUUAUCAACAGCGAACUCCCUGAAUUGGAUUUGGACGUGAUAUUCUCGUGGAUUUUCAGCAGACCAAAUUGGUUUGGGCUUGGUUUAAUCAUACAUGCAAGGUACGUGGAUUAAAAUCGAAGAUAAAGGGAGAUAUGAGAAGAUUUCCUAAAACAGGUGAAACAGGGGAGUAGUUGUUCACGGAUUUUAUGUUCGGCUAAAUUUGGUAGUACGUGGGGAAUGGGAUAGUGAAUAUCUCCUUAUGGAUUCGAAUCUAUCAACAAGGAAAGUUUGGACUAAACAGGGAGACGUGUGAAGAAAAUAUGAAAAUUAUAUCCGUAACUUUUGGAAAAAGAAAAGGAAGAAAAUCAGAGAUUUCUUGGAGACUUGAUCGUGAUGUGGCAUAUAUAUGUUGCUUGGAGUUCCAAAAGGAGCUAUCGAGUAGUUUGGGGCCUUUACGUAGUUUAGGGGAAGUUCUGGUACGAAGAAAUCACACUGCAGAGAAAGUUGCAGCAACAGGAGGAAGAAGACGAAGCUGAAGAACAUUGGACAGACGAAGACAGUCGCAGAAUCCGUGGCCUUUUCUUUCAAAAUUCAGUCACUUUGUAUCAAUUUCUGUAACAACUAUUCAGAGUUCGCAACAGUUCUGUGUUAGGAUACUCUGUAACAGUGGUUCGUAACUAUUAUAUUCGUUACAAACACGCUGUUUUAUACCUUCUCUUCUUUUUAAUCAACUUUUGAGGAACAAGCA